rnacentral:piRNA from 1 species
UUUAUCCAUUGUAUUCAUUGA